UUUGCUUCGUUUGCAUAUUUUCUUGCGCAAGAGGGGGAAGUCUAGACAUAGCUUUAGAGAAUGGCUGACAUUUGGCCUGACCUGGAGGAUCUGGGCUGUCUUGUGCUCAUGGAGGAUAAAAUUUUGGGAUUUUUCAAUGCAGGAAGUUGGCAUUUGAAGAUGUGUAAGAAAGCUGAAAUCAUCCCUAUCCCUCUCUUUUGUCUGACACUUGCUAGAAAGAUGGUGAGAUGUGGGAGCAACACGGAAGACGACUUGCUUUAGCAGUGGCGAGAAGAUUGGAAGUGGGAGAGAGGUGCAGGAAGGAGAAACUGGGGCAGCGGAGGGAGAGGUUGCAUUGGGAGCUCCAGUCUCAUCCGCACAGCAGGAAAUGAUGGCCCAGAGGUUAUGGAAUCACCCUAGGGCCUAGGGAACUAAGGUUCGAUUUCUUGAUCCAACACAGCUGCCUUAUGUGACAUUGGGCAUGUAAGUGUGUCUGCUCUGCAAAAUAAGGUGUGUUCUUACCUGUCAUUAGCCAGCUUGGGUUAAAGGAGCAUACGGGGCCCAGCAACCUUAGUUCAUCUCCACUUUCCAAGAUUCCAUUUGCGUGACUAACCUGAGCUAAAGGCAGAGUUGCUACAUCUUCAUGGCUACUUUAACCAGAGUUAAGAACUCCUGCUUUUGUUCUUGCUGUGUAGACCUGCCCUUCAAUGUCUCUGGCCCUGAUCCACAAAGAUAUUUAGUCUUCUGGAAAUUAGAAUACCUUUGUAGAUCUAGGCCUCAGUUCUCCAUCACUACAAUGGGGUGAUAUAAGGAUUGGGAAGGACUCAUGCCAGUUAAGGACCUUGAUUGACUGCUCACGUGUUACAAUUACUAGAUAACUUAUAAAAGUUUAACCUAUUACUGAUAUUUCAAUAAAUUACUAACCUGUGAUUUCCACUCCAUCCACCUGACAAAGUGGGUUUUACCCACAAAAGCUUAUGUUAGUCUUUAAGGAGCCACAGAACUCGUCCUUGUUUUUGCAGAUACAGACUAACACAACUACCUCCAUGAAAUGUACUGCUUACAUCUGUAACAGGUUUACAACACCAUCUUAGCUGGCCGUUUGGAUAUGGAACCUUUUAAAUACAGUGUGACACGGAAGUUUAGGUAGAAACUUAAGCUUGAUGUGUCAAAUCAUCCAUAGAAAUAAAUAGUGCUAAUCUGGUUGGGUUUUGGCCUGAAAAAGCCAAAAGGGGGUUGGACCUUUUGCCUGGAGGCUUAAGUGCAGGAAAGCACUCUGUGGUCAAUGUGACUUAAGCACAUGCUUAACUUUGAGCAGAUGUUUAAAUGCUUUGCAGAAUCAGGACUGUGAGAGAAUGCCUACUCCUGAUGACCUGUUGCCACUGUUGCAAUCAGGUGGAUCAGCCAUACUUUAAGAGAAGGGGCAAGUAAUACAGUGUCCCCCCUGCAAUGUGUGACUCAAAAUAGCCCUGGUCCAUUUUUUUUUUUUAGGCUACUCUGGAAGUUGUGUCUGUUUGCACAUGCUGCUGCACAGAAUGGAGUCUGAAGAUCAGAUCUGCAAAGGGAGGAAAUGUUUUUGUGUUCUGCUGGCUUGUUUCACUUGAUUUUGUUUUUUGUAAUCUAUGGCAAGAGCAGAUGGAGCCUUGAUUAGAUUUGCACAAAAGUAAAAAGAGGCUAUAAGUUCUACAUAACAACAUGGGCUCAGAAUGGGCAGACGUACAGUGUUCGUGGCAGGAUCAGGCUAGCAGAUGUGCUCUUGUAUUAAUUGAAGAUCUUGUUUAUUCUUGGAGCCUCCCUUUGCUAAAACCUCCCCCCAACCAUCUUGAUUUACUAGCUACUGGAUUUUCUUCAAGAUGACCCAUCCUUUUUAUAAGUAAUGCCCUAGAGCUGCUUGAAGAAUGGUAAGUAUUUUUCUGCAAACACUUUUUUAAAAUUAUGUGGCUGUUUGAGGUUGUUGGUUUGUGGGGUUUUGUGUCUGAGGGGGAACUUUUUGUUUUGUUGUUACUUUAUGGGUAGAACUUUUAAAAUAAACCAAAUCACUGUUAUUUUUCAAAAUCAACAUGUUUUGACUCUGUUUUCCCUUGAAAAGCCCUAGAAUUUUGAAUGAAACAAACUCUUCAUAUAUCCCAAAAAAAGCCUUUUCUUGUUGCAAAAGGUUUCAGUGGGAACAUUCUAGUCAGCUGUAACACAACUCAGAGCAACGUAGAACCAUGCUCCUGGAGUCGUGAUUGUGUCAGAAUCUCAGCUUUGGUUUGAAGAAGAAGAGAAAAAAAUCGAGCUUCCAUGGUUGUGGAGAAAAGCUUGAAAACAUGGUCCUUAAGGAUUCAAAAAACCAGAAGUGCUGUGGAAGACCCCCAAACCCAGGAAACUGAUCAGAUAAGUGGUGUCAUGUCCUCUCGAGUUGCUGAAGCUACAAGAAUUGAUGGUAGUGGGCACUUUACAGAAAAAUGGGGGAAAUGGUUUGUUCCUGUUUCUGAUUAUUCAGUAUGGUGUGGUGCUUGGUAUCUUCCUUUGCUUUGUUGUAUUUUUAAGUGUGUGUCAGACUAGAGCUUAGCAGAAUAGACUGUAGCAUGCUCCACACAGAUGUUUGAUUCCUCAUUUAUGCAUCUAAAGAAUAAAUGUAGAAAACAAACUGAGCGGAAAAAGGGGAAAGAUUUUUUCCCCUCCUCUAAUUUUUCCCCUUUCUUGAAUUAAUCUUAUGACAGUGGCCAUGCUGAGUCAGACCAAAGGUCCAUCUAGCGCAGUAUCCUGUCUUCCAACAAUGGCUAAUGCCAAGUGUUUGAGGGAAUGAGCAGUGAUUCCUGCUCCAUUGUCUAGUCCCAGCUUCUGGCAAACAGAGGCUAGGAGCACCAUCCUUGCCCAUCCAUGCUAAUAGCUAUUGCUAGGCCUAUUUUCCAUGAACCCAUUUAGUUCUAUCAAUGUCUUGACCUUCACAACGUCUUCUGGCAAGGAGUUCCACAGGUUGAUCAUUAUUGUUCUAACAAUGGUGGGUAAAUAGAUGCUCUAAAGUGGGGUUGUUUUUUUUAUGUCGUGUCCUUUUAAAGGUUUGAGAGAGAGCAAAUAGGAUGAUGUAUGGGGAUUUGACAGCAGCCUUCACCUACUUGAACAGGGGAGAGGGGUUUCUCAAGAGAAUGGAGUCAGGCAGUUCAGUGGUAACAGAUGGCAGAAGGAGGAGAAAGGGUCUCAAGAUGCAGUGGGGGAUGUUAGGACAAGAUAUGUCCAGAGGAGGGCGGGGAAGCACUGGGAUGGGUUCCUGAGGGAGGGGGAGGAAUCUCCAUCCCUAGAGCUGUUUAAAUCCUGGCUGGGAUGAGUGAGAUGGGGCUGGACUGGCUGAGUCCUGAGCGCCCCGCCCGCCCUGGGAGUCAUGCUGACGAAGCCGGGGGGGAGGCGGACGCCCCGCUGGGGCUGGCUGGGCGCCCUGCCUGACACUGAA